rnacentral:rRNA from 1 species
AGUCGAGCGGGCGUAGCAAUACGUCAGCGGCAGACGGGUGAGUAACGCGUGGGAACGUACCUUUUGGUUCGGAACAACACAGGGAAACUUGUGCUAAUACCGGAUAAGCCCUUACGGGGAAAGAUUUAUCGCCGAAAGAUCGGCCCGCGUCUGAUUAGCUAGUUGGUGAGGUAACGGCUCACCAAGGCGACGAUCAGUAGCUGGUCUGAGAGGAUGAUCAGCCACGUUGGGACUGAGACACGGCCCAAACUCCUACGGGAGGCAGCAGUGGGGAAUAUUGGACAAUGGGCGCAAGCCUGAUCCAGCCAUGCCGCGUGAGUGAUGAAGGCCCUAGGGUUGUAAAGCUCUUUUGUGCAGGAAGAUAAUGACGGUACCGCAAGAAUAAGCCCCGGCUAACUUCGUGCCAGCCGCCGCGGUAAUACA